AGUUACAGAAUCAAGAAUUGUGAGUUGGCUCGCAUUUUCACCACGAUAAAAGUUACUGGCUCGCCACCUUGAACUUGACUUAACAAACCACGUGACUACCUUAGAGUGAGAAAUCAUGCUACAAGACACAUGGUUUCAUCGGUUAUUUAUAUGGAGGUUAUUGUUUCGUUAAAUGAAUCAUAAUAACGAAAAUACAUGGUGUUACAAAUUUAUCUUUUCUUCAGAAUAAAGCCAUUGAAAUACUUCAGCUAAACAGAAAAAAUGGAGUAAAGAGAAAGAUAGAAAUGGAAGAAGACGAAAAAUUAAGACGAACUUCAGAACAAUGUAAAAUUAUACAUUGCUAUAAAAGAAGUGAAAGACAUCAUAUUUCAAGUUUUUCAAAGCAAACAAUUCUCUCCGAAAUGAAGUCACAUGUUACUCAUAGAGACU